AUAUGUGAAAACAUUAAAAACUAUAUUCGUAGAAAUUUUUGUUUGAUACAUUAAAUUUCUUCAUCUUACGUAGCCAAUUAUAAUUUUAUAAUUUUUAAAAUUAGUAUAAUAAAAAAAAAUGGCUGAUUGCGUUAAUUUCGUUAAUUUAGUUGACCUCGCUCUAUUUUUCUAUUUCUCAUAAGUUUAAUAAAACAAACUAUUUUUACCUUAUCUGUUGUGUAUAUAUACUACGAGCGUUAGAAAUACUUUUUUAACAAGAAAACAAAUCAUUGUUUAUGCUAUCUUUUAUCAGAUUUGAGCCAUGAAGUCUCAUAUUUUAUUCAUUUUUUCUUGUGUUAUUUUGUUGCUCGUUUUGAGCUAUCCAGAAGAAGCAAAAGCUAACAGAUGUCACCGUACGGCCUAUUUUCCUGGAAGAUGCGAAGAUGUUGGAAGAACAAGUUGCCUCAUGGAUUUCAAGACACUGGACCCGCGUUUUGAUCAAUGUAGUAGAUGUGAGAACCAUAAGAUCAAUGGUAAACAAGAACGUCGAUGCCAUUGCAGUUUCGCUGCCAAAUCCUGCUUUUAAUUUCAUGCAGAUGUUAGCUAUGGCAUCCGAUUUAAAAGGGCAUAUUUUAAUUUUAUUUUCUUAUUGAUAUUUACAGAAAUAAAAUUUAUGAUGUUUUUUGUUAAAAAAUUUUAUUUGUGGAAAUUUUUAGUUAUGACACUUUGAAAACAUUUAUGUCUGAAUCUGACAACGUUUUGUAAAAUAAUAUGCAUUCAAACAUGAAUAUUGAUGCUUUGCUUAUGGAAUUAAACA